GAUUGAACGCUGGCGGCAGGCCUAACACAUGCAAGUCGAACGGUAACAGAACUAGCUUGCUAGUUGCUGACGAGUGGCGGACGGGUGAGUAAUGCUUAGGAAUUUGCCUUUGUGUGGGGGAUAACUAUUGGAAACGAUAGCUAAUACCGCAUAACACCUACGGGUCAAAGGGGGCUUUUAGCUCCCGCGCGAAGAGAAGCCUAAGUGAGAUUAGCUUGUUGGUGAGGUAAUGGCUCACCAAGGCGACGAUCUCUAGCUGGUUUGAGAGGAUGAUCAGCCACACUGGGACUGAGACACGGCCCAGACUCCUACGGGAGGCAGCAGUGGGGAAUAUUGCACAAUGGGGGAAACCCUGAUGCAGCCAUGCCGCGUGUGUGAAGAAGGCCUUCGGGUUGUAAAACACUUUCAGUUGUGAGGAAAGGUUAGUAGUUAAUACCUGCUAGCUGUGACGUUAGCAACAGAAGAAGCACCGGCUAACUCCGUGCCAGCAGCCGCGGUAAUACGGAGGGUGCGAGCGUUAAUCGGAAUUACUGGGCGUAAAGCGCACGCAGGCGGUUUUAUAAGCUAGAUGUGAAAUCCCGGGGCUUAACCCCGGAACUGCAUUUAGAACUGUAAGACUAGAAUACGAGAGAGGGUGGUAGAAUUUCAGGUGUAGCGGUGAAAUGCGUAGAGAUCUGAAGGAAUACCGGUGGCGAAGGCGGCCACCUGGCUCGAUAUUGACGCUCAUGUGCGAAAGCGUGGGUAGCGAACAGGAUUAGAUACCCUGGUAGUCCACGCCGUAAACGAUGUCUACUAGCUGUCUGUGCGAUUAAGUGUGGGUAGCGAAGCUAACGCGCUAAGUAGACCGCCUGGGGAGUACGGCCGCAAGGUUUAAACUCAAAUGAAUUGACGGGGGCCCGCACAAGCGGUGGAGCAUGUGGUUUAAUUCGAUGCAACGCGAAC
rnacentral:rRNA from 1 species